GCUGGCGGCAGGCCUAACACAUGCAAGUCGAGCGGUAGAGAGAAGCUUGCUUCUCUUGAGAGCGGCGGACGGGUGAGUAAUGCCUAGGAAUCUGCCUGGUAGUGGGGGAUAACGUUCGGAAACGGACGCUAAUACCGCAUACGUCCUACGGGAGAAAGCAGGGGACCUUCGGGCCUUGCGCUAUCAGAUGAGCCUAGGUCGGAUUAGCUAGUUGGUGAGGUAAUAGCUCACCAAGGCGACGAUCCGUAACUGGUCUGAGAGGAUGAUCAGUCACACUGGAACUGAGACACGGUCCAGACUCCUACGGGAGGCAGCAGUGGGGAAUAUUGGACAAUGGGCGAAAGCCUGAUCCAGCCAUGCCGCGUGUGUGAAGAAGGUCUUCGGAUUGUAAAGCACUUUAAGUUGGGAGGAAGGGUUGUAGAUUAAUACUCUGCAAUUUUGACGUUACCGACAGAAUAAGCACCGGCUAACUCUGUGCCAGCAGCCGCGGUAAUACAGAGGGUGCAAGCGUUAAUCGGAAUUACUGGGCGUAAAGCGCGCGUAGGUGGUUUGUUAAGUUGGAUGUGAAAUCCCCGGGCUCAACCUGGGAACUGCAUUCAAAACUGACUGACUAGAGUAUGGUAGAGGGUGGUGGAAUUUCCUGUGUAGCGGUGAAAUGCGUAGAUAUAGGAAGGAACACCAGUGGCGAAGGCGACCACCUGGACUAAUACUGACACUGAGGUGCGAAAG
rnacentral:rRNA from 1 species